CCCACGAACUCGCGGCGGUCCUCCUGCCUCAGCCCUCUCCACUCCCGAGUGCUGGGCUAACGCGUGUGCCGCGACGCCAGGCGGGCUUGGCGCGUCCCGCAGGACCUGAGUCCCACAGCAGGAAGCUGAGCGCUGUUCAGAAAUUUCAGCAGCAUCUUGAAUUAUUGAAGUGUGUGUGGAGCUUAUUCCCUGUACGAACCACCUGAUAAAGAAAGGCUCUUGUCACAUUUAUCCUCAGCGUGGACUCGCUGGUGAAUCAGGAGACUGGAGCUCCAGCUGAAGCCCUUCCCACACUCCUCACAUUUGUACGGUUUUUCUCCCGUGUGGACUCUCUGAUGGGCUUGAAGGUAUGAGCUCCAGCUGAAGACUUUCCCACACUCCUCACAUUUGUACGGUUUCUCUCCAGUGUGGAUCCUCUGGUGGGCCUGCAGGUAGUACCUCUGCCGGAAGCGCUUUCCACACACGUCACAUGGGUAUGGCUUUUCUCCUGAGUGGACCCCUCGAUGAGCGAGGAAAUUGGAAGCACGACAGAAGCCCUUCCCACACUCCUCACACUGAUAGGGCCUUUCUCCAGUGUGGGUGCGCUGGUGGGCCUGGAGUUGGGAGCCUACACUGAAGCCCUUCCCACACUCUGCGCACUGAUACGGCUUCUCUCCUGUGUGGACCCUCUGGUGCACCUGGAGACUUGAGAACUGACUGAAGGUUUUCCCACACUCCUCACAUUUGUAUGGUUUCUCUCCUGUAUGGAUUCUGCAAUGAACGUUAAGAUCUGAACUCCGGCGGAAGCUCUUCCCACACGUGUUACAUUUGUAGGGUUUCUCUCCGGUGUGGCCUCUCUGAUGAGCCAGAAGGUUUGAGGCCUGGCUGAAUCCUUUCCCGCACUCCUCACACUUAUAGGGCUUUUCACCCGUGUGGACUCUACAAUGAAUGUUAAAAUCGGAACUCCGGCUGAAGCCCUUCCCACAGGCAGCACACUGAAAUGGCUUCUCUCCGGUGUGGCCCCUCUGGUGAUCCAGAAGGUUUGAGGCCCGGCAGAAGCCCUUCCCACACUCUGCACAUUUAUAAGGCUUCUCUCCAGUGUGGCUUCUCUGAUGAGCCUGCAGUUGUGAGCCUACACUGAAGCCUUUGCCACACUCCUCACACUUAUAGGGCUUUUCUCCUGUGUGCACUCUACAAUGAAUGUUGAGGUGUGAACUAGAACUAAAGCCCUUUCCACACUCCUCACAUUUGUGUGGUUUCUCUCUUAUAUGGAUUCUGCAAUGAACGUUAAGAUUUGAACUCCGGCGGAAGCUCUUCCCACACGUGUUACAUUUGUAGGGUUUCUCUCCGGUGUGGCCUCUCUGAUGAGCCAGAAGAUUUGAGACCUGACUGAAGCUUUUCCCACACUCCUCACACUUAUAGGGCUUUUCACCCGUGUGGAUUCUACAAUGAAUGUUAAAAUCGGAACUCCGGCUGAAGCCCUUCCCACAGGCAGCACACUGAAAUGGCUUCUCUCCGGUGUGGCCCCUCUGGUGAUCCAGAAGGUUCGAGGCCCGGCAGAAGCCCUUCCCACACUCUGCACAUUUGUAAGGCUUCUCUCCAGUGUGGCUUCUCUGAUGAGCCUGCAGUUGUGAGCCUACACUGAAGCCUUUGCCACACUCCUCACACUUAUAGGGCUUUUCUCCUGUGUGCACUCUACAAUGAAUGUUGAGGUGUGAACUGUAACUAAAGCUCUUUCCACACUCCUCACAUUUGUGUGGUUUCUCUCCUGUAUGGAUUCUACAAUGCACAGUAAGAUCUGAACUCCGGCGGAAGCUCUUCCCACACAUGUUACAUUUGUAGGGUUUCUCUCCGGUGUGGCCUCUCUGAUGAGCCAAAAGGUUUGAGGCCUGGCUAAAGCCUUUCCCACACUCCUCACACUUAUAGGGCUUUUCACCCGUGUGGACUCUACAAUGAAUGUUAAGGUGUGAACUGUAACUAAAGCCCUUUCCACACUCCUCACAUUUGUAUGGUUUCUCUCCUGUGUGGACUCGGUGGUGGGCAUGUAGUCGUGAAAACCAGCUGAAUUCCUUCCCACACUCUGCACACUUGUAAGGUUUCUUUCCAGUGUGGGCUCUCUGAUGGACCUGAAGACACGAGGUCUGCCUGAAGCUUGCUCCACACUCGUCACAUUUAUAGGGUUCCUCUCCUGGACAGACUAAGAAAACGGUCUGAGCACAGGAGUUUUUCCCAGGAUCCCCAGAGUCCUCAUGUCCAUCUGUGUUUUCUCCAGUGGGACUGCUUUGCUGACAGGGAAACACUGGCCUCUGACUGAAGUUCUUAAACAGUCCAUCAGACCUACUCGCUCUGCAUCUGUCGUGUACUCUCUGAUGGGACUGAAGACUUGAGAAUGGACAGAAGGUGCUGUGAACUUUUUCACACUUGUAGGACUUCUCUCCUGUAAUAACAUGAGGAUGGUGGCAGCAGCUGAAAUCUUUCUCAUGUGCCUCUUCUUCAUGGCCUUCCCUGUGGUGAGCCUGAAGAACUGGAUUCUGACGGGAAUGUCUGCUGAGCUCCUCUUCUUCCCAAGGCUCAUCACCUUGUUUCAAGGGAGAGCUGCUCUCUCCAGUGUGCACCGUGAGCUCUCGCCCCCUCGUUAACUCCCUAGUAACUUGCUGCCAGAUCUGUGAGCAGAAAAGCUCCUCAUGUGCCAGGUCCCCCAGUCCUACUUCCUGAAGAGACUCCAUUUCCUUCACAUUCUCAUCUCCUAAAAGCACAAAGAGAAUUCAGAAAGAGGUAGGGCGUGGGAAGGCUGUGCUGGCUGCUCUUGGAGUCACACAGCCUAAGGCUUCAUCACUGAACCAGAAAAAGGUUCCCUUCCCUCUAGCACGAGCAGCCUGCCAUCUCACCCACAUGCCCAGAAGCCACAGCCGGGGCCGCAGGCUCCCAUACUUACGUUAGACCUAGAGUUCUACAAAGCAUCACAUGUGAGUGAGGUUAUAGUGCAUGUACUCAGCACACACACAAAUAAAUACAAAUAAAAAAAUACAGGUGGAAGUGACUGAGGAAGACACUCCUCACAUGUGUGUGCUGAUCUAUUACACGUGUGCACACAUCCACAAGGACUCAUCCAGAUAUAGAGAACAACUAAACUUCAAGGGAGUCAGUGCCAGCAGAGACUGAUGCCAGGAGUGGGACGGAUUCAGCAGAGGGUGCACAGCCUCGGCUGACGCCAGCCCCAAAGUCACGCACAGGUUAAGAAGCUGAUGGCAUGUCGAACCCUUCCCACCUGCAGGGUCUCUGCUCCAGCCGGCCACCGUCAGCACCGCGAGCUCGUCCCUUCUGCUGGGCUGGAGCAAACUCUCAGGAGCCACCAUCUGCUGCCCUGUGAGGAGCAGAUCUUCAGUCAGCAUCCUAAAAACAGCCAUCCCGCUGCAUCUUCUGCAGGACGCAAAACCCACUCUGUCCCAAACUCCUAACACAAGUCAAAGGAAGACAGAAUUUGUUUGAAAAGACCCAGAAUGUACAGACAUAGACUUGAGGAUAAAUUAUUUUGACAAACACCUUUUUAUUAUCUCCUCGCCCUACAUCUCUCAAGCUGUUCUUGGCAAUGUCCCAGACAGACUGCCAGUGGAAUUUCUUUUGUCUUACUACACUUCUCCUUAGUGUAUGCGUACAUGCUCCUACACACCACUCGUGGACAGGGACAAUGGUGGGCCUUGGUUCUCUCCUACCAACAGGCAGGCCCCAGGGAGUGAACCGGUGCCAUUACCUGCUGACCAUGCCACAGCCUCAACCCUAUUUUAUUUCAUAUUUUAAGUAUUUCUUUUGAUGUGUAUAUGUCAGUGUCUCUGUAUGUGAGUGUGUGUGUGUGAAUGUGUGUGUGGGUGCAGGUGCCCACAGAGACCAGCAGAGGGUGACAGAUCCCCUGGAGCUGGAGUUAACAGGCAUUUGUGACCACCUGAUGUGGGUGCUGGGAACCAAACUCUGGUCCUCUAGAAGAGCAAAGAAAGCUAACUGCUGAGCUGUCUUUCCAGCUGCCUCAGCUUACUUCAGGAAGUGUCUAUAGGCAUGGCUCAGCACGUGCCAUCAUGCACUAAUUGAGAUAAUCACUUAAGAUGAAAACAUACUAGCAUGCUUUAAUUUUCACUGCAUUUAUUAAACCAGGAAGAGGUCAGCUCUGUGUCACGUGACAACUAUUCGCUUUAGCACCAGUGUCUUCUCUCACCCAGUGACACCACGUUCCUCAAGUUCUCCAGCAUCACGUCAUGGUACAGCUUCCUCUGGGCAGGAUCCAGCAGCCCCAGCUCCUCCUCACUGAAGACUACGGCCACAUCCCUGAACGUCACCAUCUCCUGUGACAGCAGACACUCAA